CGGCGGACGGGUGAGUAAUGCCUAGGAAUCUGCCUGGUAGUGGGGGACAACGUUUCGAAAGGAACGCUAAUACCGCAUACGUCCUACGGGAGAAAGUGGGGGAUCUUCGGACAUCACGCUAUCAGAUGAGCCUAGGUCGGAUUAGCUAGUUGGUGGGGUAACGGCUCACCAAGGCGACGAUCCGUAACUGGUCUGAGAGGAUGAUCAGUCACACUGGAACUGAGACACGGUCCAG
rnacentral:rRNA from 1 species